GGGGCUGACUGGCUUUGACAGCGUGUAGAAGUGGUGUGUAAGCGUGCAGAGGCAUGAUGGUUGCCUCUAUAAAAACAACAUCAGAGAAUUUAAUUGGCGAAAACAACUUCGCUCUCGCUGCUUGAUUGAAGCACAGUAGAUCAGCUUAAUCUCUGCAACAGUUGCGGAGACGAGACAUCACCCGAUUGUCCCCGUCCUGAGACUAAUCGAUACGGUGGUGUAGCAAUUCAGGAAUAGGCUGCCGACAGCCUCGAGCCGGCAGCCGAAAUUCAAGAGGAUAAGGGCGUGGUUGGCUGUCUUUGGCCUGCCCCGCCACGAAAACCAAUCAAAGACUACGCACGUAGAAAGCUCAUUGGUUCCACGUUUGGACGAGGGUUCAAUCCCCUCCAGCUCCACUU
rnacentral:tmRNA from 1 species